AGAUUUUUGGAUAUUCUAAUCGUAGCUCCAGGAGGAGUUCUUAUAAGACCAAAUGCAAUGGCCAGCUUCUCACUAUGAUGAGAAACUGCAGCUUCCUUAUCAUCUUCUUCUGCAUCUAUUCUUGCAUCUGCUGUGUUUGGGACAUAUCCAGCGGCCUUGAUUUGUUUUAUCAUGUCUUCGGCGGCGCAAUAAACUUCCUUCAGCGGAUAUGCAUUCUCUUCAGCCAAAAAUUCGUAAAUCUCUCCUUCCAACUCAAUUAAACUACAACCAGGUGUUUUCUUGAUUCCCCUCUCUUUCAUCUGAUUCCUUGUCCUCAUUGCGUCCUCCCACCUCCCCACUGAUGCAUAAAUAUUAGACAACAGAAUGUAAUCCCCACUAUGCAUAAGCUCCAAACUAACUAGUUGUUUGACUGCCUCCUCCCCAAUUUCAACAUUUUUAUGAGCUCUACAGGAAGCCAGCAGUGUUCUCCAAAUAACAGCAUUCGGUUGGAAAGGCAUUUUCUUUAUGAACUGAUAAGCCUCUUUGAUCAAUGCAGCUCUGCCAAGGAUGUCUACCAUGCAACCAUAGUGUUCCAUCCUUGGUUCAAUACCAAAUUCUUUACUCAUGCUGUUGAAAAACUCAUGACCCUCGUCAACCAGACCAAAAUGACUACAUGCAGAAAGAACUCCAAUGAAAGUUACAUCAUUUGGCUCAAUAUUUCUUUCCCGCAUCAAUUGAUAAAACUUGAGAGCUUUUUUUCCUUGCCCGUUAUUAGCAAGACCCUGAAUUAGGGCUGUCCAUGAGUAAACAUUUUUUGAAGGCAUCAUUUGAAACACUUCAGUUGCACUAUCUAUUUGUCCGCAUUUUGCGUAGAAAUCUAUUAGUGCGGUUCCCAGUGUGACAGUGAGCUUCAUCCUCUUCUUCUUAAUAUACAGGUGAACCCACUUGCCAGUCUCCAG
rnacentral:misc_RNA from 1 species